rnacentral:rRNA from 1 species
UACGGAGGGAGCUAGCGUUGUUCGGAAUUACUGGGCGUAAAGCGCGCGUAGGCGGCUUUGUAAGUUAGAGGUGAAAGCCCGGAGCUCAACUCCGGAACUGCCUUUAAAACUGCAUCGCUUGAAUCCAGGAGAGGUGAGUGGAAUUCCGAGUGUAGAGGUGAAAUUCGUAGAUAUUCGGAAGAACACCAGUGGCGAAGGCGGCUCACUGGACUGGUAUUGACGCUGAGGUGCGAGAGCGUGGGGAGCAAACAGG